GGAAAGGGCUGUAGCUCAGUGAAAGAGCAUCUGCUUUGGAUACAGAAGGUCUCUGGUUCAACCCCUUGUCUUCUCCA